AAGAAAAUGUUUUGUGAAAUGUUCUUGAGGUUGUGGAGAAGGACUCUCCAAAACAGAAGGAGCAGACUGCAACAAUUGCUGAUUCAGCCACGGCACAGGAACCAGAACCUUUGCAGACCAGUAGAGACACAGGUGCUGAGAAUUUGACCAAAGCAGAGGAACCAGAACCUUCUCAGAGCAGUAGUGAAACAGGUGAGAUGCAGAGAGAUGGCGAAAUAUAAUUUUGUUAAAUGAUUAAUUCUUAUGAUAACUAAGUUGUUGACCAUCAUGUUAUAGUGUAGAUAUGCCAAUAAUUAAUGCUUCUAUUCAAUUAGUGUGUACAGAACCACCGCAGCAGGACCAGAACCAGCAGAGACAAAAAUCUACAACACAAACAAAAAAUGCAAAAAAGAUGAUAAAGAAAAAGCGCACUUAUUUCAUUGGAUUAAAUUUUAUUACAUGUGUUUCACAUGAAAAAAAGAAGCUGUUCUUCUGUGAACUGUGCUCUGUCAGGUGCUCUGUAGACCACAUGUCUAGUGUGGCCCACAGAAAAGCCUAUGUGCAACAUAAAUAUCCAGGUUGGACUGCAAAUGAUGCAGUCCUGGAGAAGAAGCUGAAUGAGAUUGCUGUGCACUUAGCAGCAGUGGAGAAAAGCACAGGGAUUGGGAUGAAGGUAAUUUAACUCAAACUGUUGGAAGUUUUUCAGUGAACUGGUUUGUUAGGAUCUUGGCCACUACA
rnacentral:lncRNA from 1 species